GACGUAGGAGGCAAGCGUUAUCCGGAUUUAUUGGGCGUAAAGGGCAAGUAGGCGGUUCUAAAAGUUGGGCGUGACAUCUCCCGGCUCAACCGGGAGGGUGCGUUCAAAACUAGAGGACUAGAGGGCAGGAGAGGGAAGUGGAAUUCCCAGUGUAGCGGUGGAAUGCUCAGAUAUUGGGAAGAACACCAGUGGCGAAGGCGGCUUCCUGGCCUGCACCUGACGCUGAGAGGCGAAAGCUAGGGUAGCAAACGGGCUUAGAUACCCGGGUAGUCCCUGAGCGGGCUGG
rnacentral:rRNA from 1 species